rnacentral:rRNA from 1 species
UACGAAGGGGGCUAGCGUUGUUCGGAAUUACUGGGCGAAAGCGCACGUAGGCGGACUAUUAAGUCAGGGGUGAAAUCCCGGGGCUCAACCCCGGAACUGCCUUUGAUACUGGUAGUCUCGAGUCCGGAAGAGGUGAGUGGAAUUCCGAGUGUAGAGGUGAAAAUUCUAGAUAUUCGGGAGGAACAACCCAGUGGCCGAAGGGCGGGC